rfam:Alphaproteobacteria bacterium GWF2_58_20 gwf2_scaffold_22, whole genome shotgun sequence.
CGGUCGGCAGAUCCGAGGCGUUGCCGCCCCGCAAGGGGAGCUAAACCUGCCA